rnacentral:sRNA from 1 species
GAAUAUUUUUGGGCUACUUUAAGAUGAUGGUUAUUAAUGGUAUGUGAUCUUCUUAUAAAAUAUGGUGUGUAAAUAGCAUAUAAACUUUCAGGCAACCGGAAACACUAUUCUACUAUCAAUCCUUUUCUGUAAGAGAUUUAUCCAAAAUGGCUAAAGUAAAAGCUAAAGAACUUCGAGGAAAAAAGAAGGACGAGCUCC